AGCAGCCGCGGUAAUUCCAGCUCCAAUAGCGUAUAUUAAAGUUGUUGCAGUUAAAAAGCUCGUAGUUGAAUUUCGGGGUCAGCAGGUUGGUCGUGCCAAUGGUAUGCACUGGCCUUGCUGAUUCCUCCCUCUUGAUGAGCCGUAAUGUCAUUAAUUUGGUGUUGCGGGGAAUCAGGACUGUUACUUUGAAAAAAUUAGAGUGUUUAAAGCAGGCAAGCGCUUGAAUACAUUAGCAUGGAAUAAUGAAAUAGGACGUUUGAUCCUAUUUUGUUGGUUUCUAGGAUUGACGUAAUGAUUAAUAGGGAUAGUUGGGGGCAUUAGUAUUCAAUUGUCAGAGGUGAAAUUCUUGGAUUUAUUGAAGACUAACUACUGCGAAAGCAUUUGCCAAGGAUGUUUUCAUUAAUCAAGAACGAAAGUUAGGGGAUCGAAGACGAUCAGAUACCGUCGUAGUCUUAACCAUAAACUAUGCCGACUAGGGAUUCGGAUGAUGUUAAUUUUAUAAUGAA
rnacentral:rRNA from 1 species